UACGUAGGGGGCUAGCGUUGUCCGGAAUCAUUGGGCGUAAAGCGCGUGUAGGCGGUCCGGUAAGUCCGCUGUGAAAGUCGGGGGCUCAACCCUCGAAUGCCGGUGGAUACUGUCGGGCUAGAGUGCGGAAGAGGCGAUUGGAAUUCCGUGUGUAGCGGUGAAAUGCGUAGAUAUACGGAGGAACACCAGGGGCGAAGGCGGAUCGCUGGGCCAACACUGACGCUGAGACGCGAAAGCUAGGGGAGCAAACGGG
rnacentral:rRNA from 1 species